AAAAACUACGAAUGGAAUCUAAGCCUGGAUAUUUUCCUUUUCAAAUCCGUCCAAUUAUUUCCUUCAUCUUCCUCGCCUUUCUCCUCUCCUCUAACGGGUUAACCUACAUCCUUCGGAUCUACAAGAGGUCCAUCAGUCCAGGGAAAAUCAACCUCAUCAUCAUCCUCAACUACUACAUCGUAGAGAAAUACAACGUCGUCAUCACUGUCGUGAGUGCGGCGACAAUAUGGACUUCAACAGUGUCCUAUCUCCCCAGAUUCCUGGCGGUCAUACUGAGCUGGUUCAACAGCUACCUUGCCUUCUCAACCAUCUUCUUGUACUUGGCUGUCAGCAGUUUCCGAGUUCUGUUUGUGGUUAAGAAUUUAUAUCUGAACAAGUUGGCCUCUACAGUGGUAUAAAACCAUCCACUGCUGUGGAUAUCCAUGCUGUAAUCCUAGCCACUGCGUUCACACUCAGCCUCAUGGCAAUGGUCCUCUCCUACACCUUCAAUCGGGAAUAUCUGAAACGAAAUCACAGUCAUCUCAUCCUCUCAGAACAUACAAUCAGUCGGAACGUGAUUAGUUUUAAAUCUCUGAUAGUAGUUGGAGUACUGCUCUACCUUCCUAGCCUAGUCUAUCUUAGCUUUCAGUACUUUCUCCCUCAAAACUUCCCGACAGGAAACAUUCUCACAUGCUUCUUCUUAAACUGUGGUCUGGCGUACUUCGCCAAAUCAAAACAAGUGAAAAUAUUUGCUUGCGGGAAAUAAAUAUAGUCUCAGUACUGAAGAACAAUAAAAGUUAAUUGUUGACAAAAAAGAAAGAAAAAAAUUGGCUAAAUAUUUUUCAAUACAAAUUUUCUUGUAGACAAUACAUUGGUCUAAGUACUGAACAAUAAUAACAGCUGAUCAAAAAUAAAAGAAAGGGGGAAAAUAGACUGAAGUUACAUUACUGU